GACGAACGCUGGCGGCGUGCUUAACACAUGCAAGUCGAACGGAAAGGCCCUGCUUUUGUGGGGUGCUCGAGUGGCGAACGGGUGAGUAACACGUGUGUAACCUGCCCUUGACUUUGGGAUAACUUCAGGAAACUGGGGCUAAUACCGGCUAGGAGCUCCUGCUGCAUGGUGGGGGUUGGAAAGUUUCGGCGGUGGGGGAUGGACUCGCGGCUUAUCAGCUUGUUGGUGGGGUAGUGGCUUACCAAGGCUUUGACGGGUAGCCGGCAUGUGCGGGUGACCGGCCACAUUGGGACUAAGGUACGGCCCAGACUCCAACAGGAGGCAGCAGGGGGAAAUAUUGCACAAUGAGCGGAAGCGUGAUGAAACAGCGCCGCGGGCGGGAAGACGGCCUUCUGGUUGUAAACCGCUUUCGCCUGUGACGAAGCGUGAGUGACGGUAAUGGGUAAAGAAGCACCGGCUAACUACGUG
rnacentral:rRNA from 1 species